GGUUAAGCGACUAAGCGUACACGGUGGAUGCCCUGGCAGUCAGAGGCGAUGAAGGACGUGCUAAUCUGCGAUAAGCGUCGGUGAGGUGAUAUGAACCGUUAUAACCGGCGAUUUCCGAAUGGGGAAACCCAGUGUGUUUCGACACACUAUCAUUAACUGAAUCCAUAGGUUAAUGAGGCGAACCGGGGGAACUGAAACAUCUAAGUACCCCGAGGAAAAGAAAUCAACCGAGAUUCCCCCAGUAGCGGCGAGCGAACGGGGAGGAGCCCAGAGCCUGAAUCAGUGUGUGUGUUAGUGGAAGCGUCUGGAAAGGCGCGCGAUACAGGGUGACAGCCCCGUACACAAAAAUGCACAUAUUGUGAGCUCGAUGAGUAGGGCGGGACACGUGGUAUCCUGUCUGAAUAUGGGGGGACCAUCCUCCAAGGCUAAAUACUCCUGACUGACCGAUAGUGAACCAGUACCGUGAGGGAAAGGCGAAAAGAACCCCGGCGAGGGGAGUGAAAAAGAACCUGAAACCGUGUACGUACAAGCAGUGGGAGCCUCUUAAUGGGGUGACUGCGUACCUUUUGUAUAAUGGGUCAGCGACUUAUAUUCUGUAGCAAGGUUAACCGAAUAGGGGAGCCGAAGGGAAACCGAGUCUUAACUGGGCGUUAAGUUGCAGGGUAUAGACCCGAAACCCGGUGAUCUAGCCAUGGGCAGGUUGAAGGUUGGGUAACACUAACUGGAGGACCGAACCGACUAAUGUUGAAAAAUUAGCGGAUGACUUGUGGCUGGGGGUGAAAGGCCAAUCAAACCGGGAGAUAGCUGGUUCUCCCCGAAAGCUAUUUAGGUAGCGCCUCGUGAAUUCAUCUCCGGGGGUAGAGCACUGUUUCGGCAAGGGGGUCAUCCCGACUUACCAACCCGAUGCAAACUGCGAAUACCGGAGAAUGUUAUCACGGGAGACACACGGCGGGUGCUAACGUCCGUCGUGAAGAGGGAAACAACCCAGACCGCCAGCUAAGGUCCCAAAGUCAUGGUUAAGUGGGAAACGAUGUGGGAAGGCCCAGACAGCCAGGAUGUUGGCUUAGAAGCAGCCAUCAUUUAAAGAAAGCGUAAUAGCUCACUGGUCGAGUCGGCCUGCGCGGAAGAUGUAACGGGGCUAAACCAUGCACCGAAGCUGCGGCAGCGACACUAUGUGUUGUUGGGUAGGGGAGCGUUCUGUAAGCCUGUGAAGGUGUACUGUGAGGGUUGCUGGAGGUAUCAGAAGUGCGAAUGCUGACAUAAGUAACGAUAAAGCGGGUGAAAAGCCCGCUCGCCGGAAGACCAAGGGUUCCUGUCCAACGUUAAUCGGGGCAGGGUGAGUCGACCCCUAAGGCGAGGCCGAAAGGCGUAGUCGAUGGGAAACAGGUUAAUAUUCCUGUACUUGGUGUUACUGCGAAGGGGGGACGGAGAAGGCUAUGUUGGCCGGGCGACGGUUGUCCCGGUUUAAGCGUGUAGGCUGGUUUUCCAGGCAAAUCCGGAAAAUCAAGGCUGAGGCGUGAUGACGAGGCACUACGGUGCUGAAGCGACAAAUGCCCUGCUUCCAGGAAAAGCCUCUAAGCAUCAGGUAACAUCAAAUCGUACCCCAAACCGACACAGGUGGUCAGGUAGAGAAUACCAAGGCGCUUGAGAGAACUCGGGUGAAGGAACUAGGCAAAAUGGUGCCGUAACUUCGGGAGAAGGCACGCUGAUAUGUAGGUGAAGCGACUUGCUCGUGGAGCUGAAAUCAGUCGAAGAUACCAGCUGGCUGCAACUGUUUAUUAAAAACACAGCACUGUGCAAACACGAAAGUGGACGUAUACGGUGUGACGCCUGCCCGGUGCCGGAAGGUUAAUUGAUGGGGUUAGCGGUAACGCGAAGCUCUUGAUCGAAGCCCCGGUAAACGGCGGCCGUAACUAUAACGGUCCUAAGGUAGCGAAAUUCCUUGUCGGGUAAGUUCCGACCUGCACGAAUGGCGUAAUGAUGGCCAGGCUGUCUCCACCCGAGACUCAGUGAAAUUGAACUCGCUGUGAAGAUGCAGUGUACCCGCGGCAAGACGGAAAGACCCCGUGAACCUUUACUAUAGCUUGACACUGAACAUUGAGCCUUGAUGUGUAGGAUAGGUGGGAGGCUUUGAAGUGUGGACGCCAGUCUGCAUGGAGCCGACCUUGAAAUACCACCCUUUAAUGUUUGAUGUUCUAACGUGGGCCCCUUACCGGGGUUGCGGACAGUGUCUGGUGGGUAGUUUGACUGGGGCGGUCUCCUCCUAAAGAGUAACGGAGGAGCACGAAGGUUGGCUAAUCCUGGUCGGACAUCAGGAGGUUAGUGCAAUGGCAUAAGCCAGCUUGACUGCGAGCGUGACGGCGCGAGCAGGUGCGAAAGCAGGUCAUAGUGAUCCGGUGGUUCUGAAUGGAAGGGCCAUCGCUCAACGGAUAAAAGGUACUCCGGGGAUAACAGGCUGAUACCGCCCAAGAGUUCAUAUCGACGGCGGUGUUUGGCACCUCGAUGUCGGCUCAUCACAUCCUGGGGCUGAAGUAGGUCCCAAGGGUAUGGCUGUUCGCCAUUUAAAGUGGUACGCGAGCUGGGUUUAGAACGUCGUGAGACAGUUCGGUCCCUAUCUGCCGUGGGCGCUGGAGAACUGAGGGGGGCUGCUCCUAGUACGAGAGGACCGGAGUGGACGCAUCACUGGUGUUCGGGUUGUCAUGCCAAUGGCACUGCCCGGUAGCUAAAUGCGGAAGAGAUAAGUGCUGAAAGCAUCUAAGCACGAAACUUGCCCCGAGAUGAGUUCUCCCUGACUCCUUGAGAGUCCUGAAGGAACGUUGAAGACGACGACGUUGAUAGGCCGGGUGUGUAAGCGCAGCGAUGCGUUGAGCUAACCGGUACUAAUGAACCGUGAGGCUUAACCUU
rnacentral:rRNA from 1 species